GCCUCUUGCCAUUCUUGCUUGCUCUCAAAGGCUAAGCAGAACUGUGCCUAGUUAGAACCUGGAAGGGAGACCGCCUGGGAAUGCUGUGUACCCUAGGCU
rnacentral:rRNA from 1 species